GAUGAACGCUGGCGGCGUGCCUAAUACAUGCAAGUCGAGCGAACAGAUGAGGAGCUUGCUCCUCUGACGUUAGCGGCGGACGGGUGAGUAACACGUGGAUAACCUACCUAUAAGACUGGGAUAUCUUCGGGAAACCGGAGCUAAUACCGGAUAAUAUAUUGAACCGCAUGGUUCAAUAGUGAAAGACGGUUUUGCUGUAUCUUAUAGAUGGAUCCGCGCCGCAUUAGCUAGUUGGUAAGGUAACGGCUUACCAAGGCAACGAUGCGUAGCCGACCUGAGAGGGUGAUCGGCCACACUGGAACUGAGACACGGUCCAGACGCCUACGGGAGGCAGCAGUAGGGAAUCUUCCGCAAUGGUCGAAAGCCUGACGGAGCAACGCCGCGUGAGUGAUGAAGGUCUUCGGAUCGUAAAACUCUGUUAUUAGUGAAGAACAAAUGUGUAAGUAACUAUGCACGUCUUGACGGUACCUAAUCAGAAAGCCACGGCUAACUACGUG
rnacentral:rRNA from 1 species